AGAGCUAUCUUUUGAAAUAAACAAUCAAAGUACAAGUUACAAACAGGACUGUAAGUUGUCUCUUGAGGAUUUUCAGUUCUACUUGCCAAGUGAAGAAAAACAAUUUCAAGGAAAUGAUGAGAAAAUGAAUAAUCGUCUUAAUAUGAAGAACGAAGAUUGGAGGCCAGAGAACAUUUUCUCACAUAAUAACCAAAGAAGUAAUGUCACACCCCAAAGUAACUUGCAAUCUACUGGCCAGAAAAAAGCUCGAGAUGAUAAAUACGUUUUUUCUCUAAAUGAAAGGCUUCUUGGGAAAAGAAUUCCUGCAAUUACUGAUGAAAACAAAGGAAAUUUUCCUUGUUUCAAUCUAUUCGAAGAAAACAAUGCAAACAUGUCUGGCCAUACCUAU